CCUACGGGAGGCUGCAGUGGGGAAUAUUGCACAAUGGGCGCAAGCCUGAUGCAGCCAUGCCGCGUGUAUGAAGAAGGCCUUCGGGUUGUAAAGUACUUUCAGUCGUGAGGAAGGUGUUAAGGUUAAUAACCUUAGCAAUUGACGUUAGCGACAGAAGAAGCACCGGCUAACUUUGUGCCAGCAGCCGCGGGAAUACGGAGGGGGCGAGCGUUAAUCGGGAUUACUGGGCGUAACGGGCACGCAGGCGGUUAAUUUAGUUUGAAGUGAACUCCCCGGGCGUAGCCUUAGAAUGGCAUUCAAGACUGGUUAGCUAGAGUCUUGCAGAGGGAAGAAGAAUUCCAUGUGUAGCGGUGAAAUGCGUAGAGAUAUGGAGGCAAACCGGUGGCGACGGCGGCCCCCUGGAAAAAGCCUGACUCACAAAGGCGAAAACAUCGGGAGCAAACAAGAUUAGAUACCACUGUAGUC
rnacentral:rRNA from 1 species